GACGAGCGCUGGCGGCGUGCCUAAUACAUGCAAGUCGAGCGGACAGAAGGGAGCUUGCUCCCGGAAGUUAGCGGCGGACGGGUGAGUAACACGUGGGCAACCUACCCUGUAGAUCGGGAUAACAUCGAGAAAUCGGUGCUAAUACCGGAUAAUCAUUUGAAGUGCAUGCUUCGAAUGUAAAAGAUGGCUCCGGCUAUUACUACGGGAUGGGCCCGCGGCGCAUUAGCUAGUUGGUAAGGUAAUGGCUUACCAAGGCAACGAUGCGUAGCCGACCUGAGAGGGUGAUGAGCCACACUGGGACUGAGAAACGGCCAAGACUCCUACGGGAGGCAGCAGUAGGGAAUCUUCCGCAAUGGACGAAAGUCUGACGGAGCAACGCCGCGUGAGUGAUGAAGGUUUUCGGAUCGUAAAGCUCUGUUGUUAGGGAAGAACAAGUGCCGUUUGAAUAAGGCGGCACCUUGACGGUACCUAACCAGAAAGCCACGGCUAACUACGUGCCAGCCGCCGCGGUAACAC
rnacentral:rRNA from 1 species